UACGUAUGGUGCAAGCGUUAUCCGGAUUUACUGGGUGUAAAGGGAGCGUAGGCGGCGCGUUAAGUCUGAUGUGAAAACCCGAGGCUCAACCACGGGAGUGCAUUGGAAACUGGCGUGCUGGAGUGCCGGAGAGGUAAGCGGAAUUCCUAGUGUAGCGGUGAAAUGCGUAGAUAUUAGGAGGAACACCAGUGGCGAAGGCGGCUUACUGGACGGCAACUGACGCUGAGGUUCGAAAGCGUGGGUAGCAAACAGG
rnacentral:rRNA from 1 species